AUUGAACGCUGGCGGCAGGCCUAACACAUGCAAGUCGAGCGGAUGAAGGGAGCUUGCUCCUGGAUUCAGCGGCGGACGGGUGAGUAAUGCCUAGGAAUCUGCCUGGUAGUGGGGGAUAACGUCCGGAAACGGGCGCUAAUACCGCAUACGUCCUGAGGGAGUAAGGGGGGGAUCUUCGGACCUCACGCUCUCAGAUGAGCCUAGGUCGGAUUAGCUAGUUGGUGGGGUAAAGGCCUACCAAGGCGACGAUCCGUAACUGGUCUGAGAGGAUGAUCAGUCACACUGGAACUGAGACACGGUCCAGACUCCUACGGGAGGCAGCAGUGGGGAAUAUUGGACAAUGGGCGAAAGCCUGAUCCAGCCAUGCCGCGUGUGUGAAGAAGGUCUUCGGAUUGUAAAGCACUUUAAGUUGGGAGGAAGGGCAGUAAGUUAAUACCUUGCUGUUUUGACGUUACCAACAGAAUAAGCACCGGCUAACUUCGUG
rnacentral:rRNA from 1 species